rnacentral:ncRNA from 1 species
UGAAAACUGCCACCGGGUAGUAUAUGCGAUAAGCAUUUGUAUACACAUCGUUAGGUCUUAGAAGAUGUGUACGCAGAUGCUUUAUUUUU